rnacentral:lncRNA from 1 species
CCGAAACUUCUGUGGCAAUGAAAAGAAACCGAAAUCAAUCCGCAGAAGGUGUAACAUACAAGAGUGCUCUCAACCGAUCUGGGGGACUGAGCAGUGGGGAGCUUGCAGUAAAUCCUGUGGCAAACUUGGGAUCCAGGCCAGAGUGGUGCAUUGCAUACAACAGCUACAGAACGGUACCAACCGGACCAUGCAUUCAAAGUACUGCGCAGGAGAGAAACCAGAUACCCGGAGGCCUUGCAGCCGCACCCCAUGUCCUGCCCAGUGGAGGACAGGGGCUUGGUCUCAGUGCUCAGUCAGCUGCGGAGAAGGCAUUCAGCAACGCCAAGUGGUCUGCAAGUCCAAGGACAACAGCAUUGGUCAGUGUGAUAAUGAGAAGCCAGAAGCUUUCCAAGUUUGCCAACUGGAGGAAUGCCCAGGAAAUCCACCAAACACCAGCAAUCAUGUGACUCCACGGGUUCAGUGGGUUUCAGAGGAG